rnacentral:rRNA from 1 species
GUGGGGAAUAUUGGACAAUGGGCGAAAGCCUGAUCCAGCCAUGCCGCGUGUGUGAAGAAGGUCUUCGGAUUGUAAAGCACUUUAAGUUGGGAGGAAGGGCAGUAAGUUAAUACCUUGCUGUUUUGACGUUACCAACAGAAUAAGCACCGGCUAACUUCGUGCCAGCAGCCGCGGUAAUACGAAGGGUGCAAGCGUUAAUCGGAAUUACUGGGCGUAAAGCGCGCGUAGGUGGUUCAGCAAGUUGAAGGUGAAAUCCCCGGGCUCAACCUGGGAACUGCCUCCAAAACUACUGAGGUAGAGUACGGUAGAGGGUAGUGGAAUUUCCUGUGUAGCGGUGAAAUGCGUAGAUAUAGGAAGGAACACCAGUGGCGAAGGCGACUACCUGGACUGAUACUGACACUGAGGUGCGAAAGCGUGGGGAGCAAACAGGAUUAGAAACCCGUGUAGUCC